AUGCAGUGCUCGGCUCCUGGCCUUAAAAAUGCCCGGAGAAGACUGACAAUCAGGCCACCACUGCCGCGGCCGCCGCCUCCUUUUCACUCCUGCGCGCCCGGCCCCGGCGCUCGCUCUGGCGCGGCUCCCGGGGACGUUCGGAGGGGCGCACGCGCGCUCGCGGCCGUGCGUCCGCCGCGGGGGCGCGGGGAGGGCGCGCGCUCGCGGCCGUGCGUCCGCCGCACGCGGGCGGGGCUAGGAGCGCGUGCCCGGGAGGCGCAUGGAGCGCACGCAGCCGAGGCGAACCCGCGGGCGGUGCGGCGAGGAUUCCACCCCCGCGGGAGCCGCCUGCUCCUCGGAGCACGCACCGAGCACCCCCUCCUGCCCUGGCAGCGGGUCGCCGCGCGGAGAGGGCGUGUCAGCGCGCCGCUGGUCGAGCGCCCACCCCACAAUGGCUGCGAGCGCCGGGAACCGAGGGUGCACCGCCGCUCCCCGCGGCCUUGCCGGGUGGCACGCCUAGCGCAGUGCCCAGCAUAUUAUAGUGAGCGCUCAGUAGGGCGGGAAAACUGCUGCUGCUGCUGCUGCUACUGCUACUGCUGCAGCCUUUUGAGAAAAAAAGCCCUUUCUGUGAUACUAGGACUGCAACCUCCAGCCCCCGCCCGGACCACCGCCGUGGCCCCAGCUUCUGUCCCAGCCCCGGCCCCAGCCCCAGCCUCAGCGCAAGCGCCCGCUCAGCCUCCAGCGCCGGUCCCAGCUCCAGCGCCGGCUCCAGCCUCAUCCUCAGACUCAGUGACUGCAGCGGCUACGACUGCGGCUCCGGGCCAGACCCCGGCCUCAACGCCGGCCUCAGCGCAGACUCCGGCGCAGUCGCUGCCGGGGCCUGCCCUCCCAGGCCCCUUCCCCGGCGGCCGUGUGGUCCGGCUGCAUCCGGUCAUUUUGGCCUCCAUCGUGGACAGCUACGAGCGACGCAACGAGGGCGCUGCCCGAGUUAUCAGGACCCUGCUGGGAACCGUUGACAAGCAUUCAGUGGAGGUGACUAACUGCUUUUCAGUGCCGCACAACGAGUCAGAAGAUGAGGCGGCUGUUGACAUGGAAUUUGCUAAGAACAUGUAUGAAUUACACAAGAAAGUCUCUCCAAAUGAGCUUAUCCUGGGCUGGUAUGCUACAGGCCAUGGCAUCACAGAGCACUCUGUGCUGAUCCAUGAGUACUACAGCCGGGAAGCCCCCAACCCCAUUCACCUCACUGUGGACACGAGCCUCCAGAAUGGCCGCAUGAGCAUCAAGGCCUAUGUCAGCACUUUAAUGGGUGUCCCUGGGAGAACCAUGGGGGUGAUGUUCACACCUCUCACAGUGAAAUAUGCAUAUUAUGACACCCAGCGCAUUGGAGUUGACCUGAUCAUGAAGACCUGCUUUAGCCCCAACCGGGUGAUUGGACUCUCAAGUGACUUGCAGCAAGUAGGAGGGGCAUCAGCUCGCAUCCAGGAGGCCCUGAGCACAGUGUUGCAGUAUGCAGAGGAUGUGCUGUCCGGAAAGGUGUCAGCGGACAAUACCGUGGGCCGCUUCUUGAUGAGUCUGGUUAACCAAGUACCCAAGAUAGUUCCUGCUGACUUUGAGACCAUGCUCAACAGCAACACCAAUGACCUGCUGAUGGUGACCUACCUGGCCAAUCUCACGCAGUCACAGAUUGCCCUCAGUGAGAAACUUGUAAACCUGUGAAUGGGCCCCACGCAGCACUCCUGCCAGUCUGGGCCACCCUAGGACUCAGAGUGGAGUGAAGUAGAAUGGUUUUCUUGUGGUUUGAGUCACACCAAGUCAGUCAAGUGCUUGUGACUCUAAAUAAAUGUAGCCUACCUUUUAUAAA